GCCAGAGCCCACCACCACGCCGUUUGCCUCCCCUCCCUUGUUCUGCCCUCGUCAGCCUUGUUCAGUUGUUCUUCGCUGAAUCACUUCCGAUCUGCUUCAAGUCUGUCGAUCUCCAAGGGAUAAAAAUACAAAAUGUCUGAGAAUGCUGGUUCAGGGACAGGGUCUUCGCUUCCUAGUAUUCCUAGAAGAUGAACAUGUGAAUGAUGAUGAUGAUUUUGUUGGCCGUGUUGAACCUGAGCCUGAAAGAAAUGAUGUUUCUGAUGAAGAUGGUGAAGAUGAUGAUGUUGAUGCCAUGGAAGAUGAAGAUAUUGGAGGAUUUGAGUUUUAGAGUUUAUUAGAAAUUUAAUUGUUGCUUUGUUGGUUUCUUUUGUGUUUUGGUUGUGUCUUAUGAACCUUUGAUUGUGUAAUUGUGUGUUUUAUGUUGAACUAGAUAGAUACUUGUGAAGGAUUUAAAUGUGUGAUCCAAAGUACUUGUUGACUUGUUGUAACUUGUAAUUGUAGUAUUAUGUUAAUUUAUUAUGUGUUUUGAUGUUGAAA